ACCAAAAUACCAACUUUGCCCAUAGCAAAUAAUUACCAUAACGAACAAACAGCAAUGCACCAUUUAACCAUCACCCCUCUCCUAUAUUUGAUAAUUUUUAUUUUAUUUUAUUUUCUGCAGGGUGAAUUACUAGCUCCUAUACAUCCUUUCUGCAGUCAAUGCUUCAGAUUUGCAUAUGGGGCAGACAUUCUUCACGUGCAACCACUUCUUCAAGCAAUCUGCAUGGUACUCGUGUCCACAAUCAAGAGUUCCAAUCUUCUCUUGAUGUUUGUAAUCAUCCUGGCAUAUAAUGCAAGAAUCAGAUUCUUGAUCCAAACAAGCCGUCUCUUCCAGAUUGAUUGACAUUGGUGAUGAUAAAUAUGUUCGUGUCUUUAAUUGACUUCUGAUUGUUUCCUCUGAUAAUCCAGUGUUCACAUUGCCAAUCCUCUCCCCAAGUGCAAGAAGCUCCUCAUAAGACAUGUCCUCUAUAUCCAACCUCAUAUCACUGUGAUGGUCAACAUAAUUCUCUACCUCAUAAUAGUCAGGGAACUCUAGUACAGCUACCCCAUCAGUUGGUAAGACUCUAAGAUGAGGAACAUUGCGGUGUCUUAUAGCUGUAUCUGAUAAAACUCCCUCACGGUGAGGUCUGUAUAUCCUAAGGCUUGUUGGCUGGACAGAUCCUGGAUGCCUAACUCCUAUAUCCAUACCAUCCUGAGACGGAUUGACAUUGCUCUGUGAAGCAUAGCUUGUAGGACCUCUAAAUGAAGCAGCUGGUACCUGAGGAAGAACAUUAAGAUUGUGGCCUCUCAUUCCUUGAACAGGAGGUGAAAGGUGAUGAAAAUUGUGGUGCCGGAGGUUGGCAGGAGAGGGAUGCAAGAAACUCGAGUUAGUUCUAUUGCCAGACAGGUCAUGAUAAUGCUGUGGACCCAUGCUUCCGGUCUCAACCCCACUGACAUUGUUCCCAUGCAUGUAAGUAAUAGCUGGGUUCUGGGUCCAUGCUGAGGCUCCUGUGUCACUGGAAUUAUUGCUUAGCUGUUGAUCCAACCAUAGAGAACCAGAUGGCUGAAAGGGCUGACUCAUAUAGUUUCCUUGAAUAAAGUGAUUUUGGUUGUGAGCCAGAACAGGAUCGAGCCCAGUAGCACCUAAUCUGUUCCUCAC
rnacentral:misc_RNA from 1 species